GGUCGGGGCGCGGGUGCCGCUCGCUCUUACGGCCCUCAUGGCCCCUGACAGCCCCCGGGCCCCAUCGCCCCCGCGGCUGCAGCACCCGCCGCACGGACGGGGGGGUCCCGCCGCACAGGUGGGACCCGCGUUUGCACGAACCGGGCUGUGGCAAUAAAGAACCUCUGCGGGAACCGGGCUCGCACAGCUUUGUCCAGUGCUUUAUUUUUCAUUCUGUAUAUUCCAACAGGAUGUUUAUGGAAACUUGGCUGCUUUGUGGAAGAAAGCAAAGCUCUCCUGAAGGAAUUAGGCAGGAACUCUUGCCCGCGAGGCUGAGUCCCACACGGGUCACUCAGUAAGAAUUUUUAGUAUAUGGAUUGAAUGGGCUCAGGAAAACAUGAGCAUUAGUCUGCCAGCAGCCAGGACCCAGUAGCAUGAUAAUCCAAGCAGAGCAUUUACAGAAAUUAUGGUAACACUACUGAAGAUGGGCAUUAAACUAAACCAAAGCUGACCCAAUCUGAUACUGUCGGAAUUAUCACAAAUUACCUUUCAAAAUCAACUUCCAAAGGGGAAACAGUCCCAGCUUUUCCUCAUUGAUCGGAUUAAAUUACAAGAACUGUAGAGGAAAUCUCUCCAGGAUGUUUUUAUUGAAACUUUUUACAAUUAAAAAGAGAGGUUAAAACCAGGUAAUAAAACCAACUGAAAAUUCCAAUUAUCUUUUCAUCAUUUGCAACCAUAUGCUACAGUCAUGCACCUGUAUAGAGAAAAAAUAAUUAAAAAACGCAUUAUAAAGACAAUAUUAAAAUGCUAAGUACUAGCACAAACAUAUGGAAAAUAAUAACCUUUUUAUUUUCCUUUCAUGUCUUUCUUUCCUUCUUGCAUUUCUCACUCUCCUGUCUUUUGUACAAGAUUAUUAAGCUCUUUUGACUAGGCAGGUCCCUAAUAGAAACUCUAGAAGGGCCCCACAAAGCAGAGCAAAUGCCCAGAGGAGCUUUGGUGUAGAUAAAUGGCAGGGAAAACUUCAUUGAGAGGAAAUCCUCAUCUACAUCAUCCAUGCUGAAUGCUGAACUUGGAACUGGUGGUUGCAGCUCUGGAAAGAUCCCUCAGACUCAGCCAGGCAGUUUUCUGAAAACACUGCUGUGGGGUAGAGAGACAGUAAAAAUAAAAGCCAGGGCAGUAUUGGGUGUGUCAGGAGAGGCAUGAAAACAAGGAAGAAGGUGUCAUUCUGUCUCCACAUAAAACUCUGGUGCACCCACAGCUGGAGGGCUGGGAUGUUUGAGGCAUUCCCAUCUCCAGGAGGAUGGCAAAGGAGUUUGCAAAGGAGCAGAGAGUAAAUGGCAACAAAAACAACCCAGGGGUGAGCCAGCUGCCUUGCCAGGAGAGGGCAAAAGGCUGGGACUUGGACUUGUCAGUUUCCAGAGAAGACACCUGAGGUAAGGUGUACUUGACAUUUACAAAAGCAUGAAGGUGAAAACAGAACUGUAGUUCAAACCCUGCACUAUGGAAACUGAGGGAUGACCCAUGAAGCAAGUAGGAAGGUAGUUUAAGACAGACCCUACCUUCAAAAAAAUACUAUAUGCACACACUAGAUAGCAAACUGUGGAGGCCAGUGGGCUGAUUAACAAAGGAUCCACAGCUCUCCCUUGGAGGGAAAGCUCCUAGAUGAGCUCACUGUCAGGGCAACAAAAGGAGUUGCCCCCAGCAUGCCUUACAGCCCAUGCAAAUUUUAUGUAUGGCAUGCAAAUUCUAUGUAUCCUGUUGGUCCUUCCCCUUUGCUCCACCCCAAACCCUCAGCUGACUGGUCCUGAUGCUCCUAUAUAAACCCCUGUUUCCGUCUGACUAUCUGGAGUUUUUUGUCCCUGAUACCUUCAUGGUAGCUGGAGUUCUCCUUGUUCCUGGACCAAGAAUAAAGAUUUCUUGUGGAACACAA